UGUAUAAUGGGUCAGCGACUUAUAUUCUGUAGCAAGGUUAACCGAAUAGGGGAGCCGAAGGGAAACCGAGUCUUAACUGGGCGUUAAGUUGCAGGGUAUAGACCCGAAACCCGGUGAUCUAGCCAUGGGCAGGUUGAAGGUUGGGUAACACUAACUGGAGGACCGAACCGACUAAUGUUGAAAAAUUAGCGGAUGACUUGUGGCUGGGGGUGAAAGGCCAAUCAAACCGGGAGAUAGCUGGUUCUCCCCGAAAGCUAUUUAGGUAGCGCCUCGUGAAUUCAUCUCCGGGGGUAGAGCACUGUUUCGGCAAGGGGGUCAUCCCGACUUACCAACCCGAUGCAAACUGCGAAUACCGGAGAAUGUUAUCACGGGAGACACACGGCGGGUGCUAACGUCCGUCGUGAAGAGGGAAACAACCCAGACCGCCAGCUAAGGUCCCAAAGUCAUGGUUAAGUGGGAAACGAUGUGGGAAGGCCCAGACAGCCAGGAUGUUGGCUUAGAAGCAGCCAUCAUUUAAAGAAAGCGUAAUAGCUCACUGGUCGAGUCGGCCUGCGCGGAAGAUGUAACGGGGCUAAACCAUGCACCGAAGCUGCGGCAGCGACGCUUAUGCGUUGUUGGGUAGGGGAGCGUUCUGUAAGCCUGCGAAGGUGUGCUGUGAGGCAUGCUGGAGGUAUCAGAAGUGCGAAUGCUGACAUAAGUAACGAUAAAGCGGGUGAAAAGCCCGCUCGCCGGAAGACCAAGGGUUCCUGUCCAACGUUAAUCGGGGCAGGGUGAGUCGACCCCUAAGGCGAGGCCGAAAGGCGUAGUCGAUGGGAAACAGGUUAAUAUUCCUGUACUUGGUGUUACUGCGAAGGGGGGACGGAGAAGGCUAUGUUGGCCGGGCGACGGUUGUCCCGGUUUAAGCGUGUAGGCUGGUUUUCCAGGCAAAUCCGGAAAAUCAAGGCUGAGGCGUGAUGACGAGGCACUACGGUGCUGAAGCAACAAAUGCCCUGCUUCCAGGAAAAGCCUCUAAGCAUCAGGUAACAUCAAAUCGUACCCCAAACCGACACAGGUGGUCAGGUAGAGAAUACCAAGGCGCUUGAGAGAACUCGGGUGAAGGAACUAGGCAAAAUGGUGCCGUAACUUCGGGAGAAGG
rnacentral:rRNA from 1 species